CUUGCCUACGGGACGCAGCAGUGAGGAAUAUUGGUCAAUGGGCGGGAGCCUGAACCAGCCAAGCCGCGUGAAGGAAGAAGGCGCCAGGCGUCGUAAACUUCUUUUGUCGGGGAACAAAGGGCGCCACGCGUGGCGUUGUGAGUGUACCCGAAGAAAAAGCAUCGGCUAACUCCGUGCCAGCAGCCGCGGUAAUACGGGGGAUGCGAGCGUUAUCCGGAUUUAUUGGGUUUAAAGGGUGCGUAGGCGGCGCUUCAGGUCAGCGGUGAAGUACCGGGGCUCAACCCCGGGGCUGCCGUUGAAACCGG
rnacentral:rRNA from 1 species